UACGUAGGUGGCAAGCGUUGUCCGGAUUUACUGGGCGUAAAGGGCGCGUAGGCGGGUCUUUAAGUCAGGGGUGAAAUCCUGGAGCUCAACUCCAGAACUGCCUUUGAUACUGAAGAUCUUGAGUUCGGGAGAGGUGAGUGGAACUGCGAGUGUAGAGGUGAAAUUCGUAGAUAUUCGCAAGAACACCAGUGGCGAAGGCGGCUCACUGGCCCGAUACUGACGCUGAGGCACGAAAGCGUGGGGAGCAAACAGG
rnacentral:rRNA from 1 species